rnacentral:lncRNA from 1 species
CCAAGAUAGUUUUAGGUGGCCACAAACGCUAAAAAUAAUAAGAUUAACGAAACAUCUACAGUCUAGAUUCCGUCCUUAAACUUGGGAGCGGACAGUGCUGUGUGUCAGUGGAAAGAUGUUUUAUACUCAUUUUGCUAAAUUAGGAUGACUUCAUGGAGUCCAGGUUCUCAGCACUCGCCAGCGGCCCCUGGGCUGAAAUGCAGGUGCCUGCAGGACCAUCAGCAUGGAGACACCUGUCUGCAGUUGCUUGUCUCUGCCCUGAGGGAAUAAAGUCUUCUGUGCGUAUUUCAAACACUGUGAGAGAAAGCAAGUUCCUUUGUCAAAGGGAGGUGCUCGUAGGGAUGCUGUUAAACUGAAGGAUGCUCUCAUGGAUUGAAUAGCCUGACUUCAUUUCUUUCUGUUAAGGAAAAUGGCACACUUUGUGAUAAUGAUUGGGUCCCAAUUAUUAAUACAAAGAUUAUUUCUUGUAUUAUUAAGUAAAUUUUUAGGAUGAUUUAUUUUACAUUUUCUUGCAGUUGUAUGAGUUAUGUUGUGGUGUUUUGCAGUGAUUAAUAUCUGUCAUAAUAAACUGCAUGUGUCGCUCCA